rnacentral:rRNA from 1 species
GACGAACGCUGGCGGCGUGCCUAAUACAUGCAAGUCGAGCGAAUUGAUGGGAGCUUGCUCCCUGAUAUUAGCGGCGGACGGGUGAGUAACACGUGGGUAACCUGCCUGUAAGAUUGGGAUAACUCCGGGAAACCGGGGCUAAUACCGGAUAAUACUUUUAACCGCAUGGUUGAAAGUUGAAAGAUGGUUUCGGCUAUCACUUACAGAUGGACCCGCGGCGCAUUAGCUAGUUGGUGAGGUAACGGCUCACCAAGGCAACGAUGCGUAGCCGACCUGCGAGGGUGAUCGGCCACGCUGGGACUGAGACACGGCCCAGACUCCUACGGGAGGCAGCAGUAGGGAAUCUUCCGCAAUGGACGAAAGUCUGACGGAGCAACGCCGCGUGAACGAUGAAGGCCUUCGGGUCGUAAAGUUCUGUUGUUAGGGAAGAAUAAGUACCAGAGUAACUGCUGGUACCUUGACGGUACCUAACCAGAAAGCCACGGCUAACUACGUGCCAGCCGCCGCAGUAACAC